ACAUGUACAGUAGCAACUUCAAGGCAACAGGUGCUGUUGUUGCAUCAUCAGACGCGCUGUCCGGUGGCGCUGCGGUUUCAAGCUAGAGACUUCCAAAUGACAGAUUCCUUUCUAGUUGAAAUCAUUCAGGUUAUUGAUGGGGAGAUGAUUAUACCGGGGAGCAGAGGAAGAAAGAAAACUGUCAUCAAUGGAAUUAAAUGGGAAAAUUAUAUGGAAGAAAGAAGAUUGCCAAAUAAUUUAAUUAACUAACUUGUGAUUUUGUUAUUGUGUUGUAUGAAUUUACAGUAAAAGAUUCUCUGAAUUAGAAUUAUUU